UGUAAACCAAACAUUUAAAAUAUAAAGACACAGUGAGGACAUUUUGAAAACACAGCGAAGCCAAGUGAAGACAUUGAGGACAUUUCCGAACCCAGUGACGACAUUCAAAGACGCGUCAAAAACGUCAGCGCAGUGAAGACAACGAGUGACGUGAUGCGUCGCACCUUCACACAGGAAGCCGAUCAGGCCCCACAGGAAGUCGCUGCAGUGGUGGCAGAAGGUGGGCUUGGCCGACAAUCCAACACGACCGCGUUCGCCGCAUCCACUCCGGAUCCUUUUGGAUCAACAUGUGACGUCGCGAGCCGGCUUGGCCCCGCCCAGUUUUCUUCCACAUGCGACCACGGGUGAACUGUCGCCAUUCAGCACUUCCGCCUUGUGGCUUUUUCAGUCCCUUUUUAUUUUUUGUUAAAUGGCUUUUCCCGUGAAAGUAUGGCGUGCCUUUUGAUUGUAUUAAUAAAAAAAACUAAACAAAA